rnacentral:rRNA from 1 species
CAAUAGCAUAUAUUAAAGUUGUUGCAGUUAAAAAGCUCGUAGUUGGAUUUGUGGCGUACGGUGUGUUCCGGGCACUUGUUGUCUGAGUAACCUGCUGUUGCCAUCCUUGGGUGGAACCUGUGUGGCAUUAGGUUGUCGUGCAGGGGAUGCCCAUCAUUUACUGUGAAAAAAUUAGAGUGUUCAAAGCAGGCUUAUGCCGUUGAAUAUAUUAGCAUGGAAUAAUGAGAUAGGACUUUUUUGCUAUUUUGUUGGUUUGCGCAAGAAGGUAAUGAUUAAUAGGGACAGUUGGGGGUAUUCGUAUUCCAUUGUCAGAGGUGAAAUUCUUGGAUUUUUGGAAGACGAACUACUGCGAAAGCAUUUACCAAGGAUGUUUUCAUUAA